UGGGGAAUAUUGCGCAAUGGGGGGAACCCUGACGCAGCCAUGCCGCGUGAAUGAAGAAGGCCUUAGGGUUGUAAAGUUCUUUCGGUAUUGAGGAAGGUUGAUGUGUUAAUAGCACAUCAAAUUGACGUUAAAUACAGAAGAAGCACCGGCUAACUCCGUGCCAGCAGCCGCGGUAAUACGGAGGGUGCGAGCGUUAAUCGGAAUAACUGGGCGUAAAGGGCACGCAGGCGGUUAUUUAAGUGAGGUGUGAAAGCCCCGGGCUUAACCUGGGAAUUGCAUUUCAGACUGGGUAACUAGAGUACUUUAGGGAGGGGUAGAAUUCCACGUGUAGCGGUGAAAUGCGUAGAGAUGUGGAGGAAUACCGAUGGCGAAGGCAGCCCCUUGGGAAUGUACUGACGCUCAUGUGCGAAAGCGUGGGGAGCAAACAGGAUUAGAUACCCUGGUAGUCCACGCUGUAAACGCUGUCGAUUUGGGGGUUGGGGUUUAACUCUGGCGCCCGUAGCUAACGUGAUAAAUCGACCGCCUGGGGAGUACGGCCGCAAGGUUA
rnacentral:rRNA from 1 species